rnacentral:rRNA from 1 species
GACGAACGCUGGCGGCGUGCCUAACACAUGCAAGUCGAGCGAGGUCCAUCCGGUGGCAACACUGGUGAAGACCUAGCGGCGAACGGGUGAGUAACACGUGAGAAACCUGCCCCGCAGACCGGGAUAACCCUCCGAAAGGAGAGCUAAUACCGGAUGCCCUCACCGGGCCGCAUGACCUGGCGAGGCAAUGGAUUCCGCUUCGGGAGGGGCUCGCGGCCUAUCAGCUUGUUGGUGAGGUAAUGGCUCACCAAGGCUUCGACGGGUAGCUGGUCUGAGAGGAUGAUCAGCCACACUGGGACUGAGACACGGCCCAGACUCCUACGGGAGGCAGCAGUGGGGAAUCUUGCGCAAUGGGCGAAAGCCUGACGCAGCAACGCCGCGUGGGGGAUGAAGGCUCUCGGGUUGUAAACCCCUUUCAGCAGGGAAGAUUAUGACGGUACCUGCAGAAGAAGCCCCGGCCAACUACGUGCCAGCCGCCGCCGUAA